UCCGCGGUAGCUCAGUUGGUAGAGCGGCUCGCUGUUAACGAGCAUGUCACAGGUUCGAGUCCUGUCCGCGGAG
rnacentral:tRNA from 1 species